rnacentral:lncRNA from 1 species
AAAUUUGGUAGCUACUGCUUGUGACCUUCAGUCAGUGAAGUUUGGUACAACAGUGAAAUAUAUGGGGACCAAACCUGUUGUAGCAAAAGGCUUGCUUCACUGUUCAUUGGUGACAAGAAUCGACUUCAUAGAGUAACUUCGAGAGGAAAAGAGGCAAUUUCGAGGGACCCAAAAGUUUUGUCAUCACUUUCAGACAGAUGAAAAAGUACACUGAAAGGCAAGAAGAGGAACAGGUGUUGUGCACAGCCCCGGCUGCUGGAGGCCACCACAAGAGGGAGGCAGAGGUACCACCCCAGGCUCUCAGGCUGUCCCUGGAGCUGGCACUGGGCCUGCCUGGAUGGUGGUGAGGCCAAGGCCCAGGCAGCGCUCUGGCAACCACCAGGUUGAAAAAGACUUGCUGAACAAAGAAAGUCCACUUCGUAGAUGAAGACAGGAGGGACUGCUCUCCAUUUGGCCUGUGCCACUGGCCAUCCAGAUGUGGUGAGUUUUCUAGCAGACAGGAAUUGCCAGCUUAACCUCUAUGAUAAAGAAGAUAGGACCCUGUUAAUAAAGGGGGGCCAGAAAUUUCCUGACUGUAAGCUUUUCCUAACUGACACCAAAGGAAACCUGGGGAUCCCAGAUCAAUCAAAAUGA